rnacentral:rRNA from 1 species
CCCUUAGAUGUUCUGGGCUGCACGCGCGCUACACUGAUGCGAUCAACAAGUUUUUCCUAUGUCGAUAGACACGGGUAAUCUUUUGAACUCGCGUCGUGAUGGGGAUAGAUUAUUGUAAUUAUUAAUCUUCAACGAGGAAUUCCUAGUAGGUGCAAAUCAUCAGUUUGCAUCGAUUACGUCCCUGCCCUUUGUACACACCGCCCGUCGCUGCUACCGAUUGGUUGAUCUGGUGAAUUAUUCGGACUGCCGGCUGAAGGGGUUUCCUCAUCUGCCAGCGGAAAGUCUUGUUAACCCUAUCAACUAGAGGAAGCAGAAGUCGUAACA